rnacentral:rRNA from 1 species
UGCAAGUCGUACGAAAGUUUUUAACUUUAGUGGCGGACGGGUGAGUAACACGUGAGAAUUUACCUUUAGGAGGGGGAUAACAAUUGGAAACGAAUGCUAAUACCCCAUAUGCUUUUGAGUGAAAUGGAUAUAUAACUAUCUGCCUAAAGAAAAGCUCGCGGCUGAUUAGCUUGUUGGUAAGGUAAGAGCUUACCAAGGCGACGAUCAGUAUCUGGUUUGAGAGGACGAUCAGACACACUGGAACUGAGACACGGUCCAGACUCCUACGGGAGGCAGCAGUGGGGAAUUUUCCACAAUGGGCGAAAGCCUGACGGAGCAAUACCGCGUGAGGGAAGACUGCCUAUGGGUUGUAAACCUCUUUUUUCAGGGAGGAAUAAAAUGACGUGUACCUGAAGAAUAAGCAUCGGCUAACUCCGUGCCAGCAGCCGCGGUAAGACGGAGGAUGCAAGUGUUAUCCGGAAUCACUGGGCGUAAAGCGUCUGUAGGUGGUUUAAUAAGUCAACUGUUAAAUCUUGAGGCUCAACUUCAAAACCGCAGUCGAAACUAUUAGACUAGAGUAUAGUAGAGGUAAAGGGAAUUUCCAGUGGAGCGGUGAAAUGCGUAGAUAUUGGAAAGAACACCGAUGGCGAAAGCACUUUACUGGGCUAUUACUAACACUCAGAGACGAAAGCUAGGGUAGCAAAUGGGAUUAGAUACCCCA